rnacentral:lncRNA from 1 species
GUGCGACAAAAAUUAAAGGAGAGGGUGUGUAUGAGUUAUGGGGCAUGGGUUUUUUUCUUAAUACCGCACUUUUCUUCCUCCUUGUUCCCUUCCUUCCACUUCUCGAAUCCUCCUCUUCAAGAUCUGAUCUAAGAGAGGAAGGCCUUAGAGAGAGAAAGAAAAUCAAGAAGGAUUCUUGAUUUUUUUUGUGAUCUAGAAGAAUCUUUGCGAUUUAGCACAAAAGGUUUGUGCAAGGCCCUAUUCAAUUAUUUCUAAUAGCAAUGGGACAAGAUCCAAUGCUGAGG